rnacentral:rRNA from 1 species
GGCCAGACUCCUACGGGAGGCAGCAGUGGGGGAUAUUGCACAAUGGGGGGAACCCUGAUGCAGCGACGCCGCGUGGGUGAAGAAGCGCCUCGGCGCGUAAAGCCCUAUCAGCAGGGAAGAAAAUGACGGUACCUGACUAAGAAGCCCCGGCUAACUACGUGCCAGCAGCCGCGGUAAUACGUAGGGGGCAAGCGUUAUCCGGAUUUACUGGGUGUAAAGGGAGCGUAGACGGCGGCGCAAGUCCGGAGUGAAAGCCCACGGCCCAACCGUGGGACUGCUCUGGAAACUGUGCGGCUUGAGUGCGGGAGGGGCAGGCGGAAUUCCUAGUGUAGCGGUGAAAUGCGUAGAUAUUAGGAGGAACACCGGCGGCGAAGGCGUCUUACUGGACCGAAACUGACGUUGAGGCUCGAAAGCGUGGGGAGCGAACAGGAUUAGAUACCCUAGUA